rnacentral:rRNA from 1 species
AGCAGCCGCGGUAAUUCCAGCUCCAAUAGCGUAUAUUAAAGUUGUUGCAGUUAAAAAGCUCGUAGUUGAAUUUCGGGAUUGACACAUCGGUCGUGCCUUAAGGGGUAUGAACUGGUGUAGUCAAUUUCUCACCUUCUGGAGAACCGCGAUGUCCUUAAUUGGGUGCCGCGGGGAACCAGGACCUUUACUUUGAAAAAUUAGAGUGUUUAAAGCAGGCAUUUUGCUUGAAUACAUUAGCAUGGAAUAAUAAAAUAGGACGGAUGAUUCUAUUUUGUUGGUUUCUAGGACCACCGUAAUGAUUAAUAGGGAUAGUUGGGGGCAUUAGUAUUCAAUUGUCAGAGGUGAAAUUCUUGGAUUUAUUGAAGACUAACUACUGCGAAAGCAUUUGCCAAGGAUGUUUUCAUUAAUCAAGAACGAAAGUUAGGGGAUCGAAGACGAUCAGAUACCGUCGUAGUCUUAACCAUAAACUAUGCCGACUAGGAAUCAGACGAUGUUAAUUUUUAAUGUACUCG